UAAGACCUCACCUGUUUUUUGAUGCAGGAAACUCGAUUUUUAAGAUUGUAAAUAAAUAUGGGAUGUAAAAAAUCGCUCCAAAAGAUCCAGUUUAACAGAUUAUACGAGCAUUAAUUGGUACCGCUGCCGUGAAGCCAACAGUUGAGCCUUUA
rnacentral:lncRNA from 1 species